GACGAACGCUGGCGGCGUGCUUAACACAUGCAAGUCGAACGGAAAGGCCCUGCUUUUGUGGGGUGCUCGAGUGGCGAACGGGUGAGUAACACGUGAGUAACCUGCCCUUGACUUUGGGAUAACUUCAGGAAACUGGGGCUAAUACCGGAUAGGAGCUCCUGCUGCAUGGUGGGGGUUGGAAAGUUUCGGCGGUUGGGGAUGGACUCGCGGCUUAUCAGCUUGUUGGUGGGGUAGUGGCUUACCAAGGCUUUGACGGGUAGCCGGCCUGAGAGGGUGACCGGCCACAUUGGGACUGAGAUACGGCCCAGACUCCUACGGGAGGCAGCAGUGGGGAAUAUUGCACAAUGGGCGGAAGCCUGAUGCAGCAACGCCGCGUGCGGGAUGACGGCCUUCGGGUUGUAAACCGCUUUCGCCUGUGACGAAGCGUGAGUGACGGUAAUGGGUAAAGAAGCACCGGCUAACUACGUGCCAGCAGCCGCGGUGAUACGUAGGGUGCGAGCGUUGUCCGGAUUUAUUGGGCGUAAAGGGCUCGUAGGUGGUUGAUCGCGUCGGAAGUGUAAUCUUGGGGCUUAACCCUGAGCGUGCUUUCGAUACGGGUUGACUUGAGGAAGGUAGGGGAGAAUGGAAUUCCUGGUGGAGCGGUGGAAUGCGCAGAUAUCAGGAGGAACACCAGUGGCGAAGGCGGUUCUCUGGGCCUUUCCUGACGCUGAGGAGCGAAAGCGUGGGGAGCGAACAGGCUUAGAUACCCUGGUAGUCCACGCUGUAAACGGUGGGUACUAGGUGUGGGGUCCAUUCCACGGGUUCCGUGCCGUAGCUAACGCUUUAAGUACCCCGCCUGGGGAGUACGGCCGCAAGGCUAAAACUCAAAGGAAUUGACGGGGCCCCGCACAAGCGGCGGAGCAUGCGGAUUAAUUCGAUGCAACGCGUAGAACCUUACCUGGGUUUGACAUGGAUCGGGAGUGCUCAGAGAUGGGUGUGCCUCUUUUGGGGUCGGUUCACAGGUGGUGCAUGGCUGUCGUCAGCUCGUGUCGUGAGGCGUUGGGUUAAGUCCCGCAACGAGCGCAACCCUUGUUCACUGUUGCCAGCACGUUAUGGUGGGGACUCAGUGGAGACCACCGGGGUCAACUCGGAGGAAGGUGGGGAUGACGUCAAGUCAUCAUGCCCCUUAUGUCCAGGGCUUCACGCAUGCUACAAUGGCUGGUACAGAGAGUGGCGAGCCUGUGAGGGUGAGCGAAUCUCGGAAAGCCGGUCUCAGUUCGGAUUGGGGUCUGCAACUCGACCUCAUGAAGUUGGAGUCGCUAGUAAUCGCAGAUCAGCAACGCUGCGGUGAAUACGUUCCCGGG
rnacentral:rRNA from 1 species